rnacentral:rRNA from 1 species
GCCAACGACCAUACCACGUUGAAUACACCAGUUCUCGUCCGAUCACUGAAGUUAAGCAACGUCGGGCGUAGUUAGUACUUGGAUGGGUGACCGCUUGGGAACACUACUACGUGCCGUUGGCA